GCGAGGGUGGCGGAAUUGGUAGACNNAGACGCACUGGAUUUAGGUUCCAGCGCCGAAAGGCGUGAGAGUUCGAGUCUCUUCCCUCGCACCA
rnacentral:tRNA from 1 species